UGUAUCUGAAGUAAUGGUUUUCUUCUCAUUCUUAAGGUUUAUGGAGGUUUUCUUUGGACGUUGCUGUCUCUGUUAAUUGACCUUCAGACCAGCCUGUGUGCCAUUUGUCAUGUGCUACUUUUUAAGACGCCUAACUUUGACCUAUGAAUCACUCAAAAAUUAAAAGCAAAUUCAAAUUACAUAUUUUGUUUACUGGCUGUAACCAAGACGCAAUCUGGCUUCCUGUUCUUACUCCAGCUCUUUGACAAUGUCCUUUCCACUUUGUUCAGCUCUGCAAGGAUGCUUUGUUUCCCUCAGGACAGCUAUGGUGGAGCACAUCUGAGCAGCUGCCCAAAGGCUCGUAGGGAAAGGCUGACUCUGCUGACGUCAUGACCUGCUGCUUGGGGCUUUUUCAAAGGCCAUCUGGAGAGCCAUUACCAGCAGAAACAGCAGCCCAGCACGCAAACCUUCCCAUUCAUCAAAGCCAGAGAGAAACCAGGAAAAGCACUGAAAGGAACAUUAGAGAGUCUCAACUGUGCACCAGACUGGAGAUUAUAGUAUGAUGGGAAAAAUAUCUUGGAUGAGUAGGAAAGAGCAAAGAAAAAAAGAGGACAGCACGGAGUGUUGUGGUACUUCUUGUUGGUCCCAUAUCCAUGUUUUGAACCAGAGGGCCGUGACCCUUGUUGCCGUAACGAAGGGAACAGAGAUGGCCUGGGGCCCCGGCUGGCAUGGCAAGGGUGCUGGGAGGAUUAGUUAAGAUUGCCUGCAGAUGUUUCAAGGGGCCCUCUGCUUACUUAACAAGAAGAACAUAAAUCUCUCAAGCUCUCUGCUGCACUGUAUUAUGUGAGGUCACACAUGAGGCCAUGUGGCUCUGACUUCCUCUCUGGAAGUACAACAGCAUGAAAUAAAAGUAUAUUGUUGUGGUACAGAGCUAUAAUGAGCUUCUUUUAACAAACA